CUGGGCAUAGGCAGUAAUAUAAGGCAAGAUGGCUAAGGAAGAAGGUGGGCAGCGGAGCCGGUGAAGGAAGCCGCAGGCGCGGAUGGAGGCGAAGAGAUCAGGAGCAGUAAAGGAACACUCUCUUCCCCAGUCAGCUGGGAUACGGAUUUUGUAAGGCCUAGGGACUUUGUCUUUGGAGGUCCUGUCUCCAUAAGGCUUCCCAAAACAAAGAAUGUUCAGAUUGGACUGGCCUUAAAAUGCAGUAUUUAAAACAGCAACAUGUCUGACAGAUCCGAGAAAUGAAAUACGUCCAUUUCUUUUGGCAAGGAGCAGAAGGCAACAUAAAGCAGCUGCAAGAAUUAAUUCAUGGAGAUAGUUGACAUUUUCGAGCUGACUGCCUCUUAGAGAAAAUGAUGUCAUUCUCCAGCAGCCUAAUGACAGUCAUCAGCCUGAGAGGACACAUGCUAAUAAGACUAUCACCAGCAAAGAAUUUUCUGAGCAAAUGUGUACUGGAGACCUUCUGAGGAACCCACUAGAGCCUGCACAUCCCCUUUUCCUAGCAAGGUCAACUGGAAAACAGUGUUCUUUCCAAGAUAACGUGCAACUUUCCUUUGGAAUGAUCAGCAGAAUGUCAAAUAAGGAAAGGACAUGUAGAGUUCAUGGGAGGAGACAUUACUUCUGGCUGCAGAAUUAUGGAGGCUUUAUGGGAGACGCCGUAUAUUUUAUCUGUGCGCCUUGAUCACGUGUCUGACCAUGGACAGAGAAACCAGCCUAAUGAGCCUUCUUUACAGGAAGCCCCAAGCUGUUUUCCAAAGUGGUUGUACCAUUUUACAUUCUCACCAGCAAUGUACCAGGACAAUAUCAACUCUGCCACUUGAAACCAAGGCUUCUAAUGACAUGAACUGAAGGAAAAGUCUUGAUUUCAGAUUUUUGUUUGGCCUGUUUCAUCUCCAUUUGCCGACCCUGGAUUACGCAGAUAGUGCACUGCUUUUAGUAAUCUAGGCCCUUGUGCCAGACCUUGACUGUCAUACUGCAUUAUAACUGAUGGUUCAAAUGCUUCUUUUACAUAAGGAGUAUUUUCUUCCCAGAGAUACCUCUAAGAUAUUCAUGGCUAACUAAAAAUACUCCUGAAUGCUGUUCUCAAGUAGAGUUUCAAGGUCAACAUGAAAAUUGUUAUCACUCUCUUAUGUGACAUAAAAAAAUCUGUUUUAUCUUUGUAACAAUGCUUUCAUUAAAAAAAAAAAAAAGCUUUGCAAUUCCUCUGCUACACUAGUGUUUUCUCAGAUACCAAACAGGCUAUGCCUUGAUGGCAAGAAGAACAAGUUAUGAUUAUUUAUAUGCCAGUGUGCACUUGUU
rnacentral:lncRNA from 1 species